UUUUAAAUGAUGAAAAAAUUAGUCCGAAGAUUAUUGACGAUCACACAAUUCAAAUAUAAACCAAAAGGAUUCUGAAACUAA